UACGAAGGGGGCUAGCGUUGCUCGGAAUCACUGGGCGUAAAGCGUGCGCAGGCGGUUCGUUAUGUCCGAUGUGAAAGCCCCGAGCUCAACUUGGGAAUGGCAUUGGAAACUGGCGGGCUGGAGUGUGGCAGAGGGGGGUGGAAUUCCGACGUGUAGCAGUGAAAUGCGUAGAGAUGUGGAGGAACACCGAUGGCGAAGGCAGCCCCCUGGGCCAACACUGACGCUCAGGCACGAAAGCGUGGGGAGCAAACAGG
rnacentral:rRNA from 1 species